UUGAUUACCUGGCAGGGGAGCUACUGUGAUCAUGAGGGUGGUUUACACAGGUUGGUGCUCACCUAUUGCACUCCAGAUGUGCUGACCCCUGCAAUUUCACCAAAUAGGGGAAACUCGACUGCGUAAUUUGUGGGAGUGAGGGAAUGCAUUCACAUU